rnacentral:rRNA from 1 species
UACGGAGGGUGCAAGCGUUAAUCGGAAUUACUGGGCGUAAAGCGUGCGCAGGCGGUUCGUUGUGUCGGCGGUGAAAGCCCCGGGCUCAACCCUGGGAAUGGCCCGUUGAAACUGGCGAACUGGAGUGUGGCAGAGGGGGUGGAAUUCCGCGUGGUAGCAGUGAAAUGCGUAGAGAUGCGGAGGAACACCGAUGGCGAAGGCAGC